CAGCUCGACUUGACUCAAGUGCUUCUAUGACUAAUGGUAAGCCUGACUCUGAAAAGCAAGAAGGGGACGUUGGCUGGCCUGGAAUGAUGAGCAUAAGGGUGCAUGAGCUUGAUGGGAUGUACGAUCAUCCAAUUUUGCCUAUGACUGGAGAACCUUGGCAGCUGGAUGUACGAUCAUCCAAUUCUGCCUAUGACUGGAGAACCUUGGCAGCUGCUUGAAAUUCAGUGCCAUUCAAGGCUUGCUGCAAAACGGUUUCAAAAACCCAAAAAGGGUUCUAAACCUGAUGGCUCUGACGAUAACGGUGACGUUGUGGCUAAUGUAGAUACACGUUUAACGUAUGUUUAUCUCUUACAUAAUCUUCUUUAAUCUUGGACAAGAUUUUAUUUAUUCAGCAUUCGGUG
rnacentral:lncRNA from 1 species